rnacentral:sRNA from 1 species
CAGUAGAAGAAACAAUUGA